rnacentral:rRNA from 1 species
UAUACAGCGAAACUGCGAAUGGCUCAUUAUAUAAGUUAUCGUUUAUUUGAUAGUGCCUUACUACUUGGAUAACCGUGGUAGUUCUAGAGCUAAUACAUGCUAAAAACCCCGACUUCGGAAGGGGUGUAUUUAUUAGAUACAAAACCAAUGCCCUUCGGGGCUCUUUGGUGAUUCAUGAUAACUAUACGAAUCGCACGGCCUUGCGCCGGCGAUGGUUCAUUCAAAUUUCUUCCCUAUCAACUUUCGAUGUUUGGGUAUUGGCCAAACAUGGUUGCAACGGGUAACGGAGGGUUAGGGCUCGACCCCGGAGAAGGAGCCUGAGAAACGGCUACUACAUCCAAGGAAGGCAGCAGGCGCGCAAAUUACCCAAUCCCGACUCGGGGAGGUAGUGACAAUAAAUACUGAUACAGGGCCCUUUCGGGCCUUGUAAUUGGAAUGAGUACAAUUUAAAUCCCUUAACGAGGAACAAUUGGAGGGCAAGUCUGGUGCCAGCAGCCGCGGUAAUUCCAGCUCCAAUAGCGUAUAU